AUGAUGAUCGCUUGCUUCGUGACUCUCUGCUACGAACGAAGAAGGAAAGAAAAACCUUCAGAAACCAGACAAGACACAUCUGGACUCAUUCUGACUCAAACAGCCGUUUCUCUGGAUAAUGACAGUGAGUCUGUUUACACCAAUAAAGGCAUGCUGUCAUCCACCGCACCGAGUGCACCUGAAUCUCUUCAUUAUUCCUCCAUUUACUUCACAAACGCUGACCCGCCGUCAGGAGAGAUCAUGGGCCUGUCCUCGCUGACCAGUGAAUACGCUGCGGUCCGACACUGUCCUGCAGGAGACACAGACACAGAGAACAACACCUCAACAUCUGAGACAGAGCCCAAAAAACCAGACAUGACAGCAAAGAUCACAGACACGUCCUCACCGGCAUCAGAAGACGUGAUUUAUGAAAACACGAGCCAUCGCUACAGACAGAAGGAAGCACUGGUCAGCGCAGAUGAUGCUGAAAAACCAGACUGAACCAAAACCUUUGAAUCUUUGAGCAACAAUUUAAGAGAUCCUUCAUCUAAAAAUAACAAUUACAAACCUACAGAACUUUCUUUCAUCUGUGGAACAUAAAGGAAGAUAUUUUAAGUGUUUAUUCCUCAUCGUUUUAACAGGAAAUCGAUAGAUCGCCCUAAAAGGAAAAUUUACUGUUAAUGUACUCACCCUCAGGACGUAAACGAUGAAAAUUACUUUAUUCUUCAGUAGAAUAGUAAAGAAUUUUCUUGGCAAUUCAUAAAAUGCAAAUCAGCAUCUACAGUCACUCUGAAAGGCAAAAAAAAAGCAAAAAAGUUAUUAUGAAGCAAAACGAUCUGAAGAAGCUGAACAUUAUUUACAACAGUAUCACCUGUAAUCCAGUCCUGCAUGGUUUAUUUUUUAAUAUGUAUUUUACUAUACACCUAUCACUUUUAUUUCCUGAAAAAGGAAUAGCCUACAAUCUCUAAUAAUAAUAAUAAUAAUAAUAAUAAUAAUAAUAAUAAUAAUAAUAAUUGAAUAAGUCUAUUUAAAUGAUACACCAAGAUAAAAACUAAACUGAAACUAAUAUAAAAGCAGGCGUGAGGAACUCUCAGUCUGAUGUGGUGUGGAAGAAAAGUGUUUUAUUUAAUUGUUUGAUUAAAUGACUUACAGAUUGUGUUGCUUCCAAUUCCACUCCCAGAGUCAUCAGACUUCCUUCGAAAAACUCUCUGUGUCUAUAAUAGACAACACAUGGGGGGGCGAGGGGGGUGGUUUAGGGAAAAAAAUGGACAGAUUUUGAGCUUUGUGAAUAACAUUGUAACUAUAGUUCUGUAUAGUUUAGGGUGACCAUAUCA
rnacentral:lncRNA from 1 species